rnacentral:rRNA from 1 species
CAGUAGCCGCGGUAAUACGGAGGAUCCAAGCGUUAUCCGGAAUCAUUGGGUUUAAAGGGUCCGUAGGCGGAUCUGUAAGUCAGUGGUGAAAUCUCACAGCUUAACUGUGAAACUGCCAUUGAUACUGCAGGUCUUGAGUAAAUUUGAAGUGGCUGGAAUAAGUAGUGUAGCGGUGAAAUGCAUAGAUAUUACUUAGAACACCAAUUGCGAAGGCAGGUCACUAAGAUUUAACUGACGCUGAUGGACGAAAGCGUGGGGAGCGAACAGGAUUAGAUACCCCAGUAGUCCCUGUCUCUUAUAC